UGGCCUCGCGAAGCACAGAGACCUGCGUGGAGGCGGCCGUACCUCGGGAUGGACGGAGCCGGUCCACCCCCCCCUCCCCCCACGGAGCCGGUCGCCGUGGUUGCUCCUGCCAUCCCAUGCGACCUUCUCCAACAAUGGCAGUAGAUCCAGAUCUGCUGGGGAGGUGCCACCAGCAAGUAGGCCGGGAAUUGCGCCGUGAGCGGGGCGGCGGCUGCGGCUGCACGAUGAGACUGGAAUUGCGCCGCGAGCAAGGCUGCAGAUGGGCGAGAGCUUCUUUCUUGCCAGGGCCUUUCCUUCAUUGGUUCUAUAUCCUGACAAAUACUUCCUCUGCAUCUUAUGCUUUGAUUUUUUUAAUUAAUCUGCAUCUUAUGCUUUGAAGUUCUCUGCUAAGUGCGUGAUCUAGCGACAGAGGGUGGACAACAUGACACCAUCGCCUACAACCUAUUUGAGCAAAUACCAGAAAGUUUGUCAUGAAGUGAGGUAUGCUCUCAUGCUGCAGCCAAUUUGACAACAACAGUGGCUAUUGAGUAACCUUGCAUUGUGUGGUGAGUAGCCUUCUCAGAUUAUGAACUAGCAUUGUAACUUUUAUCUGUCCAAUGCUAUCAAUUUUUUUGGUUAGUGUGCCAGUUAUAAGAACUUAUGUGCCAGUUAUUGAUUUAGUGUGUGAAAAGACUGCAACUUUAUGAUUAUGUUGGUUAGUUCAAACACAUAUGUGUCUUUUCUUCUAUAUUGUAGAAACUAUAAUAUAUUGCCCCUUCCCUACAUAAUAUAUUGUGCCACCUCUUGAUUGCUUUCUUGUUUGUACAGAUGAAUAGCCUGAAUAGCCUCAAUUUCUUGUUUUGAAAAUGAAAAUUGCGCUGUGAUGCUAA